CUAAACCCCUUUUAUUUAUGGAUUUGUUUCUUUCUUUUUUUUUUUCUUUUCAGUUUAAUUACAUUAUUCUAAAAUAACCAAACCAUCUUUUCAUAAAUCUUUUGCCCUUUUUGUUCCUUCUUUACUUCUUUCAACCCUGAUUUUUUUUUUAAAUUACUUUUCCCUAAUUUUGUGUCUGGCUUAUUCUCAUGGUUCUAGAGCCAUGAGGUUGUUUAUUUAUUUGGGACUUCCCUGACACUGUUGUUUGUUUCGGGACAGCGUCUGUCUCCCUGUGGAACCAAGGCAGCCUGUCACUCAUGGUCCUUCUGCUUCAACUGCCAAGUGCUGGCACUGCAGGUGGUACCCCAUGCCUGGUUCAUGAUUGCAAAUAUAGGCAUAGCCAUCAAACUUCUUAGAACUGCCUUAUCCGUAUCCCAAAGGUUUUACCAAAUGAUCUUUUCCUUCUCCCUUGACUCUAAGAAUUUCUCAUUGCUUUCAGUGAUUUGUCCAGUGACCCACCAAGCAUUCAGAAGCGAUUUGUUCAAUCUCCAUGUGUUUGCAUGAUUUCUAGUUUAAUGCAGAUAUAAUCUGAUAAAUACAAGAAACUGAUUGAUUUUUGAAUAUUUGCUAAGGCUUAAAAUGUGAUUUAUUUCAUAUCUGCUGGGAAAAAUGUGUAUUUUGCAGACGUUGGAGUAUUUUUUGUGUUUGCGUUCUCGAAUGUAUUCAUAUGGGUGUGUAUGCAUGGGUAUGCAUGCGUGUGGAAGCCAGAGGUUAACUUUUUAACACCUUAUUUAUUUAUUUAUUUAUUUAUUUAGAGGCCAAAAGCUCUCGCUGAGCUCAUUAAUUCAGCAAGGGUUGCUGGCCUGUGUGCUCCUGGGAGCUACCCAUCUUCCCCUCACUGCUCCAGCACAGGAGUAGACAUGCACUGCCAUUUUGGCUUUUAUGUGUAUGCUGGGGACUGAAUUCAGGUCUCCAUGAUUGCAUGGUGGGUACUUUACCAAUUGAGCAAUCCUAGCUCCAGUAAAUUGUUCCUUUAUGGUUAUCAAAUGUGGCAUUUUGAUUAAUAAAAUAUUCUGGUUAGAAUCAUUAUUUUAUUAUAUACCUUGGAUUACUAACGAGAAGAAAGCCGUGAACAUUAGAAAUGACCUAUAUUAGCCAGGUGUGGUGGCACACACCUUUCAUCCAAGCAUUUAGGAGGCAGAGACAGGUAGAUUUCUGUGAGUAUCAGAUCAACCAGGGCUACACAAUAAGAUCCUGCCUCAAACAAAUAACAAACAAACCAAAGGAACAACAUUUCUCAAAACUAACGCUAAGUUAAAGUUGGACCUGGUAACAUAGGCCUGUAAUCUGAUACUCGGGGUGGCUGAGGCAGGCAGAUGGCAAGCAGCUAGCCUGCCAGGGCUACAGAGUAAGUUCAAGGCCUGAGGAACCCACAAGACCUAUAUAAUAAGUAAUUAAAAAACAAGUAGGUGUCUAGGUAUAUAGCUCAAAUGAAAUGAAUUCCAAGUACAUUAAAAGCACUUGGGAUUUAGAGGCAGGAGGAUCAGGAGUGCAAGGUCAUUCUCUGCUACUCUAUGAGUUGGACACUGUGGUGGUUUGAAUAUGCUUGGCCCAUGGGAAGCACUGAAUCUCAGCCCAGUGCAGAAGAGACCUGUAGCAUCUAGUUUUAAAAAACCAAGAUAACUUCAGCUAGGGGCCAACCACAUCGCUUUCAGCCAUUUCAUGGCUAGCCCUAAGCAGUCAUCUGGCCCGGAUUCCUGCAGCUGGCUUGCUAAGCUGACCAAAACCAGUUUUUCCUGAAAAUGCCUAGAGCUAGCUGGUUGUGUUCCUCAGGCCAACCCCCUGGAUGGCCUGCGGAAGCCAACAACACUCCGUCCCACUCAGCUCCCUCUAGCCCCAUAGAAGGAAAACACUAGAGACUUAUAUUUAUAUCAGCCAGAUUUAUAUCAGUAAAUCUCCAAGCCUAAUAUGCCCAUGCAAAGUACACACAACGUAAUAUGAAUACAAGUUGCAUGCCUAGAUUGGACAAAUGUACCCUACACUACACUUUUGUCCAGCUAUGAAAUCCCUAGCUACUUUCAGCUCCUCCCGGCCAUAUGGGUCUGCUCCAUCUUCAACCUCUUCUUCCUCCUCCUUCUUCCUCCGUCCUCAGUCUCAUCCUCUCUUCUUCCUCCUUCUCUCCCUUCUCUAAAACUUUUAGCUCUGCUUUUUCCUUCCACUGCCCAACCAGAGGCUCUAGUUUUUAUUUGACCAAUUAAGAUUUCACCUGGAAUUACCUCAGUAUGUAAUCUACUCCUCUUGAGGGAGUAGAAAAUACAAAGAGCAAUCCACAACAGAGACCCUCCUCCUGGCUGCUUGCAGAAGAAGAGUCCUCUUCUGUCUGCCUUCAGAUCAAGAUGCAGAAUUCUCAGCUCCUUCUCCAGUAGCACCAUGUCUGCAGGUAUGCUGCUAUGCUGCUGGCCAUGAUGAUAAUGGUCUGAACCUCUGAGAUUGUAAGCCAGCCCUAACUAAAUCUUUCAUAAGAGUUGCCUUGGUCAUACUGCCCCUUCAAUGAAAUACUCAGGCAGAGAUUAUCCUGUGCUACAAGAAACCCUGUCCCUAAACAAAACAACACUAAAACCUGCACAUUAACAAGAGUUAACAGUAUUAAUGAGAAGGAUGCUGUGGAGCCUCUCGCAUGGUUGUGCACACAAAGAAACUCUUGAGAAUUUUUUGGUUUGUACAAAAUACAGUGUUUAGGACCUGAGGGACAGAAAGGUUCAAAAGGCAGUUCUUGCCUUUUAGAAGGUAGAUCAGCUAAUAAAGGGUUACAAUUUAACAAAUGUUUGAUUGCGCAGUCAAGUUUAUAUACACUUUUUUUAACUUUGUAAAAGCGGAAGCUCUCUUCUCUGCCCUUUCCCCUUGACAUUUCUCCUAAUUAUCUCCUAAUUAUCAACUCUACCCCUGCUCCAGGAACAGCUAAUAAGUGCUUUGUCCCUAAUCUGUUGAAAUGAGCAGUCUGUCCAGUUUUGACUCUUAUGUAUAUGGCAAGUGGCUGAAGUAGACAAAGACACAUUUACAGGCAAGACUACUGCUGGGAGCUGCAGCUCUAAGAAUCUCUAAAAAGCAGUCUGUUACAUAAAUUAUGUACUUUUAAACCCCUCUUCCUUUACACAAUUGAACAUUAAAACUGCUUUAGAACCAUGUCUACCAGAAAUGAAGCAUAUUUCAAAAGCUUCCUUAAUAUCACUGUAACUUAGUGUUUAUUUACCACAAACACCAGUGAAUCCCAUUCCCCCUAACUAUAGUUCAUCAGCAUUCCCACCCAGUCACUACUGGAAAUGUUCUCUCCCACUGCAAUUCCAGUUUGGUGCAUGAGUAUGAAAAGCAGCAGACUCUUUUCCAUGAUCAUAGAUUUUAAAUAUUUACUUGCUUGUACUGCAUAAUUUAGCACACUGGAGUCGGAAAGGGGUUUAUAUGGUAGUGGAUUCCUUGCCAGUGUUAGAGAAUAGAAAGUCCCUCUGUGACUCCCUUGUGAGACUGUAAAAAUGUAAGGCAUUACCGUUUCCUUUUCUAACCAAUUAAAAAGUUUGUUUUACCAUAAAUCUGCAGAAAGCCUCUGCUUGUGGUAUACAUAUAAUAUACCAUACUUUUCUAUAGUUAGCAUAUAAAUCCAAGCCUCGGUUCUCAUGGUUUGUUAAUAUAGUAUGACAAAAAAUUAAAAUACAGCCAUUCUGGUAGCACAUGUGUGAUGGUAAAUCUCGGUGGUCAGUUUGACUACAUCUAGAAUUAAUUCAGACCAAAGCUGCUGGGUACUGUAGUGAGGAGUUUUCUUAAUCAGAUUAUUUGAAGAAGAAAGACCCACUCUAAAUUUAGACCACAUUUUUUUGGUAGCAGUCCAAAUAAAAAAAAGGAAGGAAACUGUUCUACAUCCAUUUGCCCCACCUUUGCUGGCAAGUUUAUUUGUCCAGUUGCUGCCAGUACUAAAUCCAAUUUCUUUGGAAUUGAAAUGAAGACAGUGCUCCAGGAAUCUUCCAGGAUCCAAGUGCCAGAAUGGGAUUUCUGAGACCUGUAGCCUCAUGGACCAAUUACCAGAGUCUUGGCCUUUUCAGUGUGAGACAGCCAUUGUUGAACUACCUGGACCACAUCCUGUAAGCAAGUCUAAUAUACACUCCUCUUAUCAGUUCUGCUUCUUAGAGAACCCUCAUACAAGUCCUUAUAGAAGUUAUGAGAAGGACAGCUUGUGAGAUCUGUGCUAUCUCCUCUCCAAGUCAUCAGAAAGUGUUCUGCAUUUCAAAAUAUGAAACAAACUAUCCAAGCAGACAAAGGAGCAGAUACCUUGUUAUCUAUGCUAAUAAAUGACCCUCUUGUUGUCUUGUUAUACCCCUGUCCGGCCCAUGUGACUGGUGAAUAAAUUGCUCUAGUAAUUAAUUCUAGGCAACUGUUUUCAUGAGACUAACAUGAAAUAACUUUCCCAGCGUCCUAGCACAGAUCUCUUAUUCCAACACUAGGGGAUUGAGAGAAGAUAAUGAGUUCUGGGUCAGUCUGGCUGUAUUGCAAGUCCCUAUCUUCAAAUAAAACGCCACUCAAUUCUAAUCGUGAAACAGUUAAAAUUCAAAGAACAUAUUUUGUAUUCCAGAAGGCGUUCAUUCUCUCGAUGUUUAACUGUUUAACUGUCUGGUAGCAGAGAUUGUUGAUUUUUUUCCCCCUUGUAGUUUCUGCUCUUAUUUCUUAUGUAUUGCUCCAACAGUCUGCGUUACUGAAAACAAUAUAUUAGUAGAAUUACAUGUUGACAUCAUUUAGUAUAUCUCUCCCGAUUUUUUUUUUAAAGGCAGGUCCUGUACUGUAAUUCUUAACAUGAAUCUGAAUGUGAAAACUGAAUGCUCCACCAGGAUGUAAUCAAUACCCCAUACCACAGCUUGCCUUGGAGUAGACAGACUGUUAGUCUUUUAAUCCAAGUGGGCUUGGUUUUAAGGACCCAGAGCUCUGUGCAUGCUGGAUCUUGUAGUCCCGAAACCGCAGACGCUCACCGUGCGUGGCGGGUAGUAGCUGAAGUCCAGUAGUUACAGUUACGAGGGACAGCUGUAAAUCUAACUUGGGCCUGCCCCUCACAAAUGAACUGCUCUAGGCUCUGAGCUUGCAGCCCGGGAGCUUAGGGUCUCCGACAGGGCUUCCUGCAGGACCGCGGCCUGCGGAGGCUUCGGUGUGCUGUGCUACGGUGGCCGCGCGGGGCCGCGGGCCGCACGUCCUGCGGUGCGUACGCGCUGUUCGGAGCGGCUGCUGGAGCCGACGCGCGUCUGGUGUGGGGACUCCUGCGCGGCUGUACAGUUAUCCAGUCCCGUGUCGCCGAGGGGUCGGCUCGAGGCUGGCGGAGUGGAGAAGGUUGGAGCUUGGUGUUUGUAGUCUACGAAUGGCCGGUUCUGGGGGCGGCCCUGCCCUUGGUGCAGACCCGUGGCCAACCGUCUGGGUUCCUGGAGGGUUUUGGAGCCUCUCUCGAUUCUGCUUCCUCCUGAGGGUUAUCUUCUGACGACUCCUCCUCGCCCUUUGAACUUAUAUUGGAUUUUCUAAAAGAAUGGAAUCAAGUGAUGGCUUUUUCUCCAGAAUUUGAAUAUGGAGGCUUCAGGAACAGAUGAAGUUGACAAGCUAAAAACUAAAUUUAUAUCUGCUUGGAACAAUAUGAAAUAUAGUUGGGUGUUGAAAACAAAGACAUAUUUUAGUAGAAAUUCACCUGUUUUAUUGCUUGGAAAAUGUUAUCAUUUUAAAUAUGAAGAUGAAAGCAAGAUGUUGCCUGCAAGAUCAGGAUGUGCCAUUGAAGAUCAUGUAAUUGCAGGGAAUGUGGAAGAGUUCCGUAAGGAUUUCAUUUCUAGAAUAUGGCUGACCUACAGGGAAGAAUUUCCUCAAAUCGAAGCUUCAGCCUUGACGACAGACUGUGGCUGGGGCUGCACGCUGCGGACCGGCCAGAUGCUGCUGGCUCAGGGACUCAUACUCCAUUUUCUCGGUAGAGCUUGGACCUGGCCUGAUGCGCUGCACAUUGAGAACGCAGACUCUGACUCAUGGACUUCCAACACUGUCAAAAAGUUUACUGCAUCGUUUGAAGCUUCACUUUCGGGGGACAGAGAACUCAGAACUCCAGCAGUUUCUCUGAAGGAAACAUCUGGGAAGUGUCCCGAUGACCACGCAGUGCGGAAUGAGGCUUAUCACAGGAAGAUCAUCUCUUGGUUUGGAGAUUCCCCCGUGGCCGUCUUUGGCUUACAUCGUCUGAUAGAGUUUGGGAAGAAGUCUGGGAAAAAAGCUGGCGAUUGGUAUGGACCAGCGGUGGUUGCUCACAUUUUAAGAAAAGCAGUUGAAGAAGCAAGGCAUCCGGAUUUGCAAGGGCUAACUAUUUAUGUUGCCCAGGACUGUACAGUUUACAAUUCUGACGUGAUUGAUAAGCAGACUGACUCCGUGACAGCUGGAGAUGCACGUGACAAGGCUGUCAUUAUUUUAGUUCCUGUUAGACUCGGUGGAGAAAGGACCAAUACCGACUAUCUGGAGUUUGUGAAGGGUGUUUUAAGCCUUGAAUACUGUGUAGGUAUCAUUGGCGGCAAACCUAAACAGUCAUAUUACUUUGCUGGAUUUCAAGAUGACAGUUUGAUUUACAUGGAUCCUCAUUACUGCCAGUCUUUUGUAGAUGUCAGCAUAAAGGAUUUCCCUCUCGAGACAUUCCACUGUCCAUCUCCUAAAAAGAUGUCAUUUCGAAAAAUGGAUCCUAGUUGUACGAUAGGAUUUUACUGUCGAAAUGUCCAGGACUUUGAACGAGCGUCUGAAGAAAUCACUAAGGCAGGAUGUACUUCUGAACUGCACGACCCUGCCAGGCAUACCCUUGCUGUACUGUGUGGUCUGUGCUGAUACCCAUCUUCCUGGACCUCUCUCUCUCGAAAGUGGUCUGUAUUGGCCGUGGAGGCUUGCUGGGAAUCCUAAGUGAGACUUUGCUCUUCGCGUCAACCUCCCGGAGUCUCUGUGUGUAGACUAAGCGCAGUGACCGUUUCUUAGUUUUUUUUUUUGUUUGUUUGUUUUUUUUGUUUUUCACUUGGUCCACCGGAGCUGCGCUGCUUCAUCCCUGCUCUGUCUACACUCCCCGGCUUGAGCUACCCUGAUUCUUGCCUUUCCUCCACAGGCACACUUUCUCUUCUACUCUGUAAACAUGAGAUGCUCUGGAUUUCUUGUUUAGGUUUUUGUGUUAUCCUCCGUGAUGAUUUCAUCCAGGCCUGCAGCUGUGAAGAUCUUCUUUCCAGUAGCCACUCCCAAGUUCAUAGGCCAGUGCAGGCCAGGGCUCUCUCUCCAGAACUGAAUGGUUUCUCAGGACAGAGCCCAGCUUAAGAGAAUCUUGGACAUCAUUUAGUUCAAGCUCCCGCUAACAUCAACCAUCUCUGAAGCUUCUUGAAUAGAGGAUCAGCCCCAGCUGAAAUCCACCUUCAGUCAUGGAGAACUGGAUACCUGGCCCACCCUCACCCAGGAGGUGCUCUGCUGUGCAGGGACUGAGGGCUGCACUCGUGAUGAGCCCAGGGACGCCUGUGCCAAGCCUCUGAUAUAUAGUGCGGGGACUGCAGGGCAUCCGAGUUGUAACAAGAACAAGAUGAGCUUGUGGCCUCGGGCUCCUAACCUGCUCCUCAACCCACACUUCAAAGAAAGUUAUUACACAAGAGUUAGACUAAAUCAAACCAAACUGCAAUGUUUGCGCACUGUGGUCCAUUUUCAGAUCUCUCUGUAUCUCACCACAAGUCCCUCAGAAACCCAGUCAGGAACAAAACAAAACGACCCAAUGAUAAUUUAGUUGUAAGUCUUUAAAAAAUGAGCCCGACUGAUUUAUUUUGAAAUUUCAGUUAAGCACAAUGUCAAGAAAAUCUCUGUGGCUAUUUGUCAUUUUUCUCCCCUUGCAUAAGUCCAAGCAGGCAGAAUAAAAUUAGGAACUGGCUGCUUAUAGGCUCCCCAGGUCUUGAUGUAGGCUUGAUUUCACUACUGGAAUAUCAGAGAUGCUUUGGUGAUGAUCCUCUGUCAGAAUGCUCGUCACAGCAAGGAAGACCUUUAUUAUGCCAUCGGCUCAUUUUAUUAGCCUUGUUAUACAGCUACACAAAGGAGCACAAUAGAUCAUCUAAAAGAUAAAUAUUUCACUUUGGCUAGACCUACAACUCUCAUUUUUUCCCCCUUACCCACAACCUGAAAAGCAUGAAAAGUUAGGUUUUCCUUUUGUAGCUUUGAAUAGAGGCAGGUUCAGGUUUUUGCACUGCAAAAGCAAUAAAGCUUAUAUUCAUUGCUACCUACUAGUAUGUUUUAAAUUUUUUUAUAUUUAUGUGUGUGUGCAUGCAUAUGUGUGUGAAUGCAAAUGGAAUAGCACGUUGUUUCCUUCUAUCAUGUGAGCCCUGUGAAUGGAACCCAGGUUACCAGACUUGGUGACAACAAUAGUUAUCCACAGAGCCACCUCCUCUUUGGCCCCUGUUAAGUAUAUUAAGUAUGGACAAUUUUGUGUGGUAGAUGCAACGUCCCAUACUCUAAUAAUUGAACCAUUAAAACCCAUCCCAGGCCAAUCCUCAUGGAUCUCUUGUGUUUCAGAAAAAUAUUCUUGUUUCAACCAUGAGUCAUUAUGGUCUCAUGAUCACCUAGAGUCAGUUCUGGGAGAGACCACCAAGCUAUGUGAAGAAGGAUGCUGGGACUGAGGGCAAGUGGUGUUUACCUCACAUCUUCUGGUGGAACUGCUGCCUCUACCUACCUUCUGACUGUAGGAGGUUUAUCGAGUGGCUGUCCCUGUGGCCUCCACAGCCUCAGCAAGGGAUACUCAGAGCAUCCUAGCCAUCACGCUUAGGGAGGCCUCAGUCUAUGCCAGGGGUUUAAUGGAUAGUAAUAUCAAAUUGUUUGUGUAUGUAUACACAUUUAGGUGUAUGUUGGAGGAUAGACUGUGUCUAGAUCUGCAGAGAGGAAAGGGAAAGCAAACCAGAUUGGGUAGAGAAAUAAGGGUGGAUUUGAACCUACGCUGCACUCAGUAGAACAUCUGCCGUAUGUUAGGUACUUUAUACUGUGCUUGAUCUCACGGACUCUUCAGAGCAAGCUAAAGACACGGAGCCCGUGAAGCUUCACGUCACGGGUGGAAGCAUUCAGAGGCCAAGCGCCUUGUACAGAGUUAAGAAAUUAAAGUCCAUGUCCCGGCCUCAAAACUGUUGCUCUCCCUUGCUAUCUAGUAGCUGCAGCACAAAUUGUAGCAUUAGAGGAGCGAGCAUAACACAGAACACACAGAGAACAGAGGGACUGAAAUGAACAGAGAGCAGGUCUUGUAGUAAUAGUAAGGCUGGCGCCUACUGGGCUUUUGGAGGGGCUACCAUAUAUGAGCCACAGUGCCAGAGUCUAUUGCACGUAAUAGUGACAUGGUCCUAUGCCUGGGAACCACUGUUAUAGUGAGUUUGCUAAGUGUGUGUGUGUGUGUGGGGGCCUGAAAGUCUAAGUAAUCUGUCUAGCCCCCACAGACAGUGGGGGAGCUGAACUGGCAUGAGUUGAAAAUCAGAUUUUACCUGUUGGACUACAAAGACUGCACUCAAGUCACACUAGAACAUCAGAGUACAAAUAAGCCAAAAGGACUUUAUUUCCAAGGUCUGCAGUCUGAAGAGGACAGAUUCACGGACAAUAACUAAAAUGUGUUUGCGAUGGAGGCAAGUGCAGAAAAGGUAGUACCAAAGAGAGUGACUGCCUAACUGAGACUGGGAACAGAAUGUCGGUGACAUCUGGGGACAAUGUCCCAAGGAAAAUAGUGUUUCAAUUAAACGUUAAUCAACCUUUUUUUUUUUUUCUUCAGAACUGGGAAUCAAGCCUUAAUUUGCACAUGCCAGGCAAGUGCUUGGCAGCUGAGCUACACCCCACAGACCUUGUUUUUCUGUUUUUGUUUUGUUUGUUUGUUUGUUUGUUGUUUGUUUGUUUUUGAGACAGGUUCUCACUGGUAGUCCAAGACUACCUUGAAUUUAAUAUGUGUCACUGACGGGCCUGGAGUUUGUGAUCAAAAGCCUCAGCCUCCUGAGUGCUAGAAUUACAGCGGGAACGCUCCAGGAACACCUUCCCCUCCUGCCGCUGCUGAUUUCAGCACUGCUGCAGGACCCAGGUAUUUUCCAGAGCGGCCUGGGGCUUUGCCAGUGGAAAAGCUUGUCAUCGGAUGGUGCUCCCUUCCCGACCCUGGUGCUCCAGCCUCCAGUUCUGGGAGGUGGUGGGGUGAUGGAGUCAAGACAAGGGUGGAAGGCCAGGAAGAGAUCAGCUAUGCACAGACAAUUACAAUGGGCUCAAAACCCCAGAACAUUUACCUUUUCCAACCGAAUGACUCUAUAAAAUGGACACCUGCCAUGUUCCUAAGCAUGAAUCACUGUACUUAGAGGCACACACAAGUGCAGCGCAGUCACGCCUAGUUGCUCACCGAUGUAUCAGAUCCAAUGCUCAGGGUUCAGUGCCUGAGCCAAAUGUUAAAGUUAUUUGUUCUUGUCAAUAAACUAAACUUUACGGUGACCCUCUAUUUUUAUUAUGCCACAUGUAUUUUAAGAGAGGUGGCCGCUGCUUGAGCUGGCAGCCGGGGCUCUAGCGAGGCCCGACAAAUGCCAAGGAAGCGCAUCCCUGGGGACCCGCUGUCAGCACGCAAGGCUGGCUAGGCCUGUGACGGUUUUCUCCUGGUUCUAGGGAGGCUACCUUCUCUAUGACACUGCACCACCACAGGGCAGUCUUUUGGGGUCUGGGGCCUCAAGUGCAGUGUUGCCUGGUCCUCAGCCUGGCUACAGAGAUGAUGUUUGGAAAUAAAAUGAAAUGUGAAAAAAAGAAAAGAAAAAAAAGAAAAGAAGAAGAAGAAAAAAAACAACCUGCAAAACAACAAAUGAAGCAAAGCAAAGCCUAACCCCUAAACACACAGCCAGGUGCCACAGAGCGCAAGCGAAACACUCUGCGCCAAGCAGCCAGUGCGUACCAGUGAAUUUCCGGUUCAUCUCCCUGAGGCACGGAAGUAACCACACAGUCCUGGCUGCAGAGCUGCAAGGGGCAGGGGCCAUGCUCGUGAGCCCGAGGCCGGGCCUGUUGUCUUGACGUUUGGAGAAGUCUCCCUUAAAGAGAUGCUGGGGCUCCAGAUGUGUGAGAAUCUGGGUGGUCUUGAGAGACUCCACCCCCACCCCCAACGCAGCCACGCUGCAGCAGCUGGAUGGAUGGAGCAGGUGCAUAGGAACAGAGGUUUCAUAUCCCCAGUCAGUGGAGCUGUGUGGAAAAGGGACUUUCUGCUCCACAAGUAGAUGAAAAAUCACAGCCAUCUCCACCCUCCCCCCCAAAGCUCUUUUUUAAUAUUUAAAUUUUGGAAUUUAACCAACACAGUAAAAUAUAUAACUUUGGAA